UACGGGGGGGGCAAGCGUUGUUCGGAAUUACUGGGCGUAAAGGGCUCGUAGGCGGCCAACUAAGUCAUACGUGAAAUCCCUCGGCUUAACCGGGGAACUGCGUCUGAUACUGGAUGGCUUGAGUUCGGGAGAGGGAUGCGGAAUUCCAGGUGUAGCGGUGAAAUGCGUAGAUAUCAGGAGGAACACCGGUGGCGAAGGCGGGUCUCUGGGCCGUAACUGACGCUGAGGAGCGAAAGCGUGGGGAGCGAACAGG
rnacentral:rRNA from 1 species